GCAGAUCUCGCGAGAGCGCCGGCGGGCGGAAGUGCACCGAUCCCCGCCCUGCGCAGCGCUUCCGCCCUUACUGCCCUUAAAGGGGCCGCGCGCGCGGCAGAACCGGAGGUAGCAGCGGGCAGCUUCCAGAAACGGAUCUUCGCGUGCUGCUCCUCCCCGGUGCAGCGCUUCCCGUGGGACGGCUGUUUCCAGCUCGCUCGGGUAGUUCGUGCAGGGCUGGGCUGCAGGGCUGGCUCAGCUGCAGCCGUGGAGCCUCGUGGUGCGGCAGACACGUGCAGGCUCAGCUCAGCUCCACGCUGCUGCUUUCUGGGCAGUCACGAGCCGGACGCUGUGGUUUGCUGUAUUGGACUCCAACAGCAGUUACCCAGGAUAAGCUGCAGCUGCACCUGUGCAGAGCUGUUGUGAGAUGGAAGCACCGCAGCCUUCGUGCUCAUGGAAGGAAGCAGAGCUGAGCCGCUGGGAUGACUCCAACAUCAGCUCCAGACCUCUCAACUCAAAGCCCAGCCCAGGGCAGCCUGCUGUGUCCCAGCUCAGUGCUGCCCAGCCAGUGGAGGAAGCAGCUGUGGGCUGCAGAGCUGCAAUUUGUGGCCAUUGCCCUGCAGAACUGCAGCAGCAGCGAUGCUGUAUCCAUACAUUUAACUCCCAGACGAAGAGCAACUGGGCAGGGGUCUGAGCCUGCCUCUAAACCCAGACUGACCCACUUUGCGCUGGUCUCAGCAGCUGCAGGCACACAGUGAAAGGUCUCCUGGAUGCAACCAUCCAUCGGAGGUACGGAGAGCACACAGAAAUAAAGAGCGCAACCUCAGAGUCAGCUCCAACAGCUCAGUUCAAAGUUCUCUCUCAGUUUCCAGAGUGGACAAAGCAGAGAUGAAAGGCGUUUUCCUGGAGGUGAAUAAACCUGUCGGAUUCAAGGUCAGAGAACAGCAGCGUUCAACCAAUGCCCAUCACCACGGCCAGCAUGCAAAGAGAGCAAAUGCACCCAGAGCCACGCACAGCUCUGACAGCACUCAAGCCAGCAGUUGUGGGGCACUGAGGCAGCAGCCAUUGCAGAUCAGUCGGAUCCAGGUGACAGCCAGCAGCCAGGGCAGCUCUUUGGUGUCUACAAGCUAACCAGGCAGUGGCACACAGCUCCUCACCAGCACAGCUGCUCCUCUCGUGAGCUGGGGAGUAAAAGCUGAAUUUUUGCAGCAUGAAUCACUACAGACCACAUUCUGCUGCUGGGAGCCGAACGGUCCACUGAGGCACAGCAUAAGCCUGCAAUGCUGACGUUGAGACGUGGCUUUCGAGACUGCCAAUUGAUUUCUCAUGAAAACACAAAUUCACAAGAAAGCUUUUUGUAAAAAAAAAAGAAGAAAAAAAGAAAAAAAAAUGGAGACAGGCUUGUGUUUCUAAUCCAAAUGUACUUCUCUUUAUUCAAACCAGGGGUAAUCACUGGUUAGUGCAAAAUGCACCUAAACCUUUUGCCUGAGGGAAAUCUACAUCUUAACAAGGCCUCCGUUAACCCCUACUGAAAUCCACAGAGGAUUCGAAAGAGUUCGAAGCACAGAUCCAACGCUGCACUUCGUUAAGUGACUCUGUGCAUCAGCAAGUCUGCACCUGCCUUGUUACCAGCUCUAUCCCACCAGGUAACAAAUGCAAAAUACACUCAGUAGAUUUCUUUUUAACUCCCAGAGUUUCUGACCCAUCCGCUCCACCGCUGACGUCAGCAGUGAGGGAGCUGCAGCUCAGCCUCACUUCCAUCAGUGCUAACGGAAACCCUGUUUUAAAUUAAAAAAUAAGCCAGCAUACAUAGUAGAAAAUUUCUCUUAAAAAUUUCACAAUCUGUAAAUGUAUAUAUAUAUUUUUUUCUUUUAAACAUAAAAGUUUACAAUAUACGGUAAAACAAAGGCUCAGGAAAAAAAUAAUCUCAAAAAAAAAAAAAAGAAACCUGAAGUUUUGAAUUAAAGCUGAAGACAUUUUUAAAACCCUGUAGUUUGAACCAGUGACAUUUUCUUUAUUUGUGCUGAUGGGUUAGAGAAAGGAAAAUAUUUAAAAACUGCAGUCCAAACACCCACAGCUUUUGCCUUCAGAAGCCAUCUCCCCCGCCCCCCC